UACGUAGGGGGCAAGCGUUGUCCGGAAUCAUUGGGCGUAAAGCGCACGUAGGCGGCCCUGUAAGUCCGUUGUGAAAGUCAAAGGCUCAACCUUUGAAAGCCGAUGGAUACUGCUGGGCUAGAGUCCGGAAGAGGCGAGUGGAAUUCCUGGUGUAGCGGUGGAAUGCGCAGAUAUCAGGAGGAACACCGAUAGCGAAGGCAGCUCGCUGGGACGGUACUGACGCUGAGGCGCGAAAGCGUGGGGAGCGAACAGG
rnacentral:rRNA from 1 species